rfam:Triticum aestivum genome assembly, contig: Triticum_aestivum_CS42_TGACv1_scaffold_361452_4DS
CUUGUACUCCCUCCGUCCGAAAAUACUUGUCAUCAAAAUGGACAAAAAAGAUGUAUUUAGAACUAAAAUACAUCUGGAUACAUCUCCUUUUAUCUAUUUUGAUGACAAGUAUUUCUAAACGGAGGGGGUACUUU